UUCGUUUCAAAUUUCAAUCUUCCCAUUAAUUUUCAGUUAUCAUUCUUAUAUUUUAUUCUCUUUUCCUAGGCCGUUGCUUAUAUGCCCUUAACAGACGGACAUCUAUAGCGUCUUCUCCCAGAAACUCACAAAUCGUGCGUAUGGCGCCGGAAAAAAGAGAAGGUGACUCGUGUUCUCCUCUCGAUUUCCCUAUACUGACCUUCAAAAACUCCAUUGUCUUUUGUUAUUUAACUCUAUUUUCAGUUGUCUUCCUGUUUGGAUAAUGUAUAUUGUGUCCGAUUGGAAAUUUUCUGAUAAUGUUUUUUUCUCCAUUGUAAGCCUUUGCCUUCAGUUAGCAAUCACAUCCUUUUUGUUUGUGCAAUAAAGUUAAGAUUUUUAUGUCUCCUUAUUUCUUAUUUGAUUGCUUUCUUACAAUUUUAGAUCUUUUGAUUUCGUGUUUUUGUCAAAAUAGCAGAUUAUUGAUGGACAUGUCCCCCUUUUAGGGUUUUCUAGAUGAAUUCAG
rnacentral:lncRNA from 1 species